rnacentral:lncRNA from 1 species
AACUCGAUUUUACAGUUUUGCCAGGAAAACUCGAUUUUGCCGUUUUGGCGGAAAAACUCGAUUUUGCCGUUUUGGCGGGAAAACUCGAUUUUGCGGUUUCGACGGACAUACUCGAUUUUUAUGGAAGAGAAGAUUUUAUCGGAAGUCUUUCCAACGUUGAUUUCGUCGUAACCGAUUUUGACCCCCACAGUUAGUCCCCCAGCUCGUUAGGAUCGUGAGGUUCUUGCGAGUGGCUUAGACAUGUUUGAAUGAGUUAGAUGGAAUCGACUGUCUGAAAAUCCGAAGAUGAAUAUUGAAUCUUAUUACCUAUAAGUAGCUGGAGUAAGUUUUCAAAUUUUUUACUUUCUCAUUUCCACAAAUCUUCUCCCACAUAAGAUCCUUUGC